rnacentral:misc_RNA from 1 species
GGGUGAACAAGCAAAGAUAACUUACGAUACUGCCUUUUGACUUCAUCAAUGGAUGAAUCGAAUGACAAAUUAAGAUAAUCAAAUGGAUUCAACUUGAAACAUGAAAGGAUCCUGUUAACUUCAUUAUCGCGCUCAACUUCACUGACCUCAGCGAAGAAUUGCUUCAGUAGUGCAUCUUCCUGGGCGGCGAUUUUCGCCGGCGACGGUGCUGUGGCUGUAUCGCUG